rnacentral:rRNA from 1 species
AGAGUUUGAUCCUGGCUCAGGACGAACGCUGGCGGCGCGCCUAAUGCAUGCAAGUCGAGCGAGGCUCCACCCUUCGGGGUGGAUGUCCUAGCGGCAAACGGCUGAGUAACGCGUGGGUGAUCUACCCCAGAGAGGGGAAUAACCCGCCGAAAGGCGGACUAAUUCCGCAUACGCUCCACCGUGUAAAGGCGGUGGUGGAAAGGGUUCCGGGCAACCGGGGCCGCUCUGGGAGGAGCUCGCGUCCUAUCAGGUUGUUGGUGGGGUAACGGCCUACCAAAGCCAAAGACGGGUAGCUGGUGUGAGAGCACGACCAGCCAGAGGGGGACUGAGACACGGCCCCCACUCCUACGGGAGGCAGCAGCAGGGAAUCUUGCACAAUGGGCGAAAGCCUGAUGCAGCGACGCCGCGUGAGGGACGAAGGCUCUAGGGUUGUAAACCUCUUUUCUCAGGGAAGAGCAAGGACGGUACCUGAGGAAUAAGCCACGGCUAACUACGUGCCAGCAGCCGCGGUAAUACGUAGGUGGCGAGCGUUGUCCGGAAUUAUUGGGCGUAAAGGGUCCGUA